rnacentral:ncRNA from 1 species
UCCCCGAUUGAUUCUGUCGGCGGUUAUAUGCUUAUCUCAAAGGCUAAGCCAUGCAUGUCUAAGUUCAAAUGGCCUUUAAAGGUGAAACCGCGAACGGCUCAUUAUAACAGCUAUUAUAUACUUGAUCUUGAUGUCCUACGUGGAUAACUGUGGUAAUUCUAGAGCUAAUACAUGCACCAAAGCUCCGAGUAAGCUGCACACAUGUGGUGCCGGUGUAGCCGUCAGCCGUGCUU